rnacentral:rRNA from 1 species
GAUUAACGCUGGCGGCGUGCAUGAGACAUGCAAGUCGAACGGACGAGUGGGCUUGCUCACUCGUUAGUGGCGGACGGCUGAGUAACGCGUAGGUGACCUGCCCCGAGGUGGGGAAUAACUGCCCGAAAGGGUGGCUAAUACCGCAUGUGGUGCCACGUUCAUUCGUGUCUCCAAAGCCGCAAGGCGCUUCGGGAGGGGCCUGCGUCCGAUUAGCUCGUUGGUGGGGUAAUGGCUCACCAAGGCGACGAUCGGUAGGUGGUCUGAGAGGACGAUCACCCAGACUGGGACUGAGACACGGCCCAGACUCCUACGGGAGGCAGCAGUCGGGAAUUUUGCUCAAUGGGCGCAAGCCUGAAGCAGCAACGCCGUGUGGGGGAUGACGGCCUUCGGGUUGUAAACCUCUUUUCCCGGGGACGAUAAUGACGGUACUCGGGGAAUAAGUCACGGCUAACUACGUGCCAGCAGCCGCGGUAAUACGUAGGUGACGAGCGUUGUCCGGAUUUACUGGGCGUAAAGAGCGCGCAGGCGGUCGUACAAGUCGAGUGUGAAAUCCCCCGGCUCAACUGGGGAACGUCGCUCGAUACUGUUCGACUUGAAGGCGGGAGAGGGAAGCGGAAUUCCCGGUGUAGUGGUGAAAUGCGUAGAUAUCGGGAGGAACACCAGUGGCGAAGGCGGCUUUCUGGCCCGUUCUUGACGCUGAGGCGCGAAAGCUAGGGUAGCAAACGGGAUUAGAUACCCCGGUAGUCCUAGCCGUAAACGAUGGACACUAGGUGUUGGUGGUAUCAACCCCGCCAGUGCCGAAGCUAACGCAUUAAGUGUCCCGCCUGGGGAGUACGGCCGCAAGGCUA